AAUUACCCUUAUUUAUUACAUUCUAAACCUAUCUCCAAACCCAACAAAAGAAAUCUACUGACUCUCUCCUAUGUUUGGUGUUCAAGCCGUUAGUCUCUCCGUUUGUCUCUGUCUCUACAUUCUAAACCUACGUUUCUCUCUCUCUAUCACCUCCUCCGUUGCUCCUCCACCAUUGUUCCACCUUCACAGGUUUCCGGCAAAAAAAAAAAAAAAAAAAAAAAGAGAAGCCGAACUGUUUCUAUUUGUCCUUUAUCCGCAAUUGGAUCCAUACUCACGGGAAUUGACUACGUAGGUCUAGGCCAUGUGAUGGUGUUUGCUAAUGGGGAUUACUCCCAAGCUUUGGAAGAAUUAUCAAGAGAGCAGUAAGGUUGGAGACACGAAAAGGCAGUUACGGGGUUGCAGUGGGAGUGGUGUUUACAGAGGUUGAUGACAAUGAUAUUGAUGAUUUAGCAUAAAAUACAUGUGGCUGAAGAGAAUCACAAAAUGAGCAUUCCUUGGUGGAAUUAAUAUAUAUAUUGAGUCCAAGUAGCUGAAGGAACUAUGUUUAAGGACCUAUGUUGUUAAUCAUGAUGAAAUAGUUUUAUUUGGUUUUUUGUUUUGUUUUUUUAAGGACCUAUGUUGGAAUACUGUUUUUGCUUCAAUUUAAUGUCAUUAACAGUGUGUUUUUAAGGACGUAUGUUGGAAUACUGUUAUUUAAGGACAUAUGCCUCAUUUUUUUCGAUUUUCUACUGCUCACCUCUUGUUUUGAGGGGGUACCUGCA